rnacentral:rRNA from 1 species
ACGGGUGAGUAAUACAUCGGAACGUAUCCUGGAGUGGGGGAUAGCCCGGCGAAAGCCGGAUUAAUACCGCAUACGCUCUGAGGAGGAAAGCGGGGGACCUUCGGGCCUCGCGCUCAAGGGGCGGCCGAUGGCGGAUUAGGUAGUUGGUGGGGUAAAGGCCUACCAAGCCGACGAUCCGUAGCUGGUCUGAGAGGACGACCAGCCACACUGGGACUGAGACACGGCCCAGACUCCUACGGGAGGCAGCAGUGGGGAAUUUUGGACAAUGGGGGCAACCCUGAUCCAGCAAUGCCGCGUGUGUGAAGAAGGCCUUCGGGUUGUAAAGCACUUUUGUCCGGAAAGAAAUCAUCGGGGCCAAUACCCCUGGUGGAUGACGGUACCGGAAGAAUAAGCACCGGCUAACUACGUGCCAGCAGCCGCGGUAAUACGUAGGGUGCGAGCGUUAAUCGGAGUUACUGGGCGUAAAGCGUGCGCAGGCGGUGCUGUAAGACCGAUGUGAAAUCCCCGGGCUUAACCUGGGAACUGCAUUGGUGACUGCAGCGCUGGAGUAUGGCAGAGGGGGGUGGAAU